GAUGAACGCUAGCGGCAGGCUUAACACAUGCAAGUCGAGGGGCAGCACGUCUUCGGAUGGUGGCGACCGGCGCACGGGUGCGUAACGCGUAUACAACCUACCUUAUAGAGGGGAAUAGCCCAGAGAAAUUUGGAUUAAUGCCCCAUAGUAUUAUUGAAUAGCAUUAUUUGAUGAUUAAACAUUUAUGGCUAUAAGAUGGGUAUGUGUUCUAUUAGCUAGAUGGUAAGGUAACGGCUUACCAUGGCAACGAUAGAUAGGGGUCCUGAGAGGGAGAUCCCCCACACUGGUACUGAGACACGGACCAGACUCCUACGGGAGGCAGCAGUGAGGAAUAUUGGACAAUGGGCGAGAGCCUGAUCCAGCCAUGCCGCGUGCAGGAAGACGGCCCUAUGGGUUGUAAACUGCUUUUAUACGGGAAGAAACACUCCUUCGUGAAGGAGCUUGACGGUACCGUAAGAAUAAGGAUCGGCUAACUCCGUGCCAGCAGCCGC
rnacentral:rRNA from 1 species